GGGGUGGAGCCGCGGUCCCCGGUGCCGGAGCGGGGAAGCGCAGAGUCGGGGCGGCGUGGGAGGACGCCGGGACAUAUGGACAUGUUGACUGUGGGACAUGUGGACAUGUGGACAUUGGGACAGUAGGAUUGCAACCGUGGACGUCAGGAGGGCCAACUUCACUUCCUGAAGGACUUAUCUGGAGGUAAUCCCACGGGUUGGAGAGCUGGAAGGUACGGCUCCUGUGUGGGCACAGCAUCUAUGCACUGACUUUGUGCGCUGCGCCCAUGGAACGGGGGCAGCUCCCCGGUGCCCGUGGAACCCACCUCGGG